GAUGGAGCAGUAAAACCGGUAGAUAUUGACACAAUCCAGGAGCAAUUAAAGGUAUCAGCUGGAGAACCACCCACUAUUUAAGCCCCAACACAGAGACAAGAUUACGCUCUGAUGUUAUCAAGAUGCAGUGUCUGGAGCUGCUCCACUGAAAUUAAAUGGGAGUUUCCUAGCACCCUGUACCCGGCCAGGUUUUGCAAAUUUAUGCCAACCCUAUGCCGUGCGGGCUUGAAGAGCUGCAGUGCAGUGGCCGUGAACUGUAGGUGUGACAUGGCAGAUGGAAGGAGCAGUGGGAGACUAGGUGAAUCUUCCAGUCCUACGGAUGAAAACCAGCAGCUGGCAGUGGAAGUGUAAUGGCCUGGUGGUGGACUGUGUACUAAUGGCAAGACGGAAGAAACAAGGAAUCAAACAACAAUUGAAACUACAAUGCAAGGAUUUAGAACUUUUGUAUGAAAAUGUAGGUAGUGAAUGUUUCCUACAGCACCUCUGGGAAUUUAAUCUUCACAUCAGCACUGUCUGCUGAUGCAACAACCACUGAUGCAGAAACCUCCUGCUUGGUAUUUCUCUCGUGCUGCUGGUAGAAGCCAAGAAGGAAAGCAAUGCCUGGGAUGUAUCUUUCAAUUCUGGGAAAUGUUAAAAAAAAAAACUCUUUAAGCAGUAUGCACCAGUAUGUGUCAUUGUAAACACAGAAAAUGUUUCCACUAUGCUCCAUUUAGCAAAUUUCUGGGAUCCUGGUCCAGUGUGCUUUGGCCUCAAGUACUGGUUUGGAACCAGGCAGAUGUGCAGUUGCAGCUUUCAGUGACAUUGCAUAUGACUGACAUUCAGCUCCCCAUCUGAGCUGUGCCUAGACCAAGCACAGGAGCCCAAGAGAAUCAACCACCCCAACCAACCACUCUCCCACAUCUUUAAUUGCAAGACAAUUAAUGAUUAUGCUGCAAAAUGUGUGUUCACAGCGGUGUUGAUGCACAUCUUCCAGUUGGUAGCUUCUCCAACAUGAGACACAAUCACAUGGGCUUU